AUCAUGAGUAGCAGUAGCAGUGUCAUUAUAAUCACUGUUCUUAUUUUCAUAAGUGUUUUUUCAUUUACUUAAAAGUAGUUUAUUUCUUUGAACACUAUGAGGAAGGUGUGGUUUUUCUCCGAAGAAUAAAACUCUUUGAAAUGUACAGGAAACUCCAAUUUCCCCCUGAAGUGACCAAAAACAGUUUUCCUUCCUAUUUGCACUUCACUGUACACUUGUUUCAUUUUUAGAUUGAUGUAGUGUGGCAAUCAUAAUUUCUAUAUCAUGUGAGUAAAAAAAAAUGACACCUCACACAUCCCCAAUCAAGAAAAAAUCUGUCAUGAACACACAAUCAUAUAUGGCUGGAAAGAGCAUCUUUUCCCAAACAAGGUAUCCUUUGCAGUGAUGUACAUUUUGACUUGUGCCAAAGUAAGGCAUGACUGCAAUGAAUUAUCCAGAUGUCAAUGAUGUCGAAAUCCUACAGAAGUAAACAUAUUUGCUAAUCCAUGUUCAAUGAAAUUAACUUGAGAAUUUAUACUAAAAUGCCUUUAUUAAACAAUUAUAAUGUAAAUUACUGCAAAGGUGUUUUGAAAUGGAUGUUAUUGAAACUCUUGUAGGAUUAUGACAUUGACAUCUGGAUUCAUUAAUUGCAGUUAUGCCUUACUUUGGCGCAAAUCAAAAUUUACACCAUUGCAAAGAAUACCUCCUGAUCAUCCAAGCGUUAACACAUACCACGUAAAUAUGGUAUCAAAUUAUUUAAGAUGACAUACUCGUUCAGAUGAUAUAUGAUAAUUAUCCCAUUUGGCUUAAUAAUUGCUUGGUCACACAUUACUCUUUGAUACAUUGGGAUCAAUCAGUCCGAUUGUGAUUGUUGACCAUUAUAUUUUGAUUAUUCAAAACUUUCCUCAGAACAUACUAAAUGUAUUUGAUUUUCUUUAGUAAUCUAUCUAUUUUGUCUUUGACACAAAUAUUAUCUUACUCAUGUAUUGUGCAUGUUGUAUUUUUGUUUGUAACACUUCAACGUUUUUUUUGUUUGAUUUAAAUUGAAUAUAGUCAUAAAGAUAAAGUAUGUGAUGAUGAUGAUGAUAUACAUGUAUACAUAUAUAUAUAUAUGGACUUCUUCUUCUUCAAGCACUGGUGUACAUUUUAUAAUCGAGGGCUCUCAAAAAGCAGCUGCAUCACCUUGGUUUCCAUUCCAGGGGGCAGUUUCAUAAAGCCGUUCAUGAGUUAAGAGUGACUUUAAGAACGACUGGUGAUCCUUGUGGUAAAUUAUAUUCACCAUUAAAUGUUCAUUGGUGAAUAUUUAGCAUGUAAGGAAGGAUCACCAGUUCUUAAAGUCGCUUUUACCUUCCGAACAGCUUGAUGAAACACCCAUUAGAAACCCGCAUUAAAGAAAGCCCAACAAUGAUCCUACGAUGGAAUUUUAUGAUAAAUUGUACAGCGUGAUCAUUGCAGCUACAAAAAUGUGUCUUAUGGUCAAUUUUAACUACUGCCACAACUGUAGGCAUAUCAGUGAAAGGUAUGAUACUGUAAUUACCAUGGUUUUAUUAUGUUCCUGCUUUCUAUGUUAUUCAAUCCUACAAUGCAGUGAUACAAGUCACAAAGUGAAAAUACUGGUAACGAAUUCACCUGUGUUGUAUAGCCAGGGACUGAGUGAUAUUGAUUUUGGCAAUUUUUUUAAAAAACUCAUUGAAAAUCUGUGAAGUAGUCGAAGAAAAACGUAGUAUGUGUACAUACAUGUGAUAUGAAUUUACAAUGUAUGACCAUUCAGACACAAUUGCCUGUUGUGCAAUAAGCAUUCAGACAUAAUAAAUGUCUUGUAUUGAAAUGAAAUAUCAGUAUCAGAGCAUUUGGACAAAAAUAUCAAUGCAUGUAUGUCUUGUAUCCUCAUGCUGUACAUGUGUGAUACACAAGCUUUUGAAUGAUGACAAAGCCGCCUUUUCUAAGAAAAGAAAAUAUGAAUGAUUGCAUGUGCUAAUGACAUUAUGGAAUCGAAGUAAUACUUGGAUUUGAAAUAAAUCCAGAUCAGCUGAGUAAGAUUUAGAUUGAAAUCUUUAAGACUUAGAAAUAAGUGUAAAGGAUUUAAAUCCAGGGGGGCAGUGGUCAUUCUUGACAGCUGUUCUACAUUCAUUGACAGUAAAUGAAAUUGAUGUAUUUUUAAAUUUCCCAUAUACAUAUAUAGGAGUGUGAAGAUGAAUGUACACUAAAUUUUGAAGAAAACCAAGAAAGGGAAGAAGAAAUGUAGAUUAGCUGUUUGAAUGCAUACAACUCUGUAUUUUAUGUGAAUGUAGAAUCUUUAUUACGCCAAAUCAAUUUAUAUGAAGCAUGAUUACAAAUAUGGAAUUAAAUAGUCUUAUAGCAAUUUA